UCCCAGACUCCUACGGGAGGCAGCAGUGAGGAAUAUUGGUCAAUGGGCUUACGCCUGAACCAGCCAAGUCGCGUGAGGGAAGACUGCCCUAUGGGUUGUAAACCUCUUUUGUCGGGGAGCAAAAGCCGGACGUGUCCGGCUGUGAGAGUACCCGAAGAAAAAGCAUCGGCUAACUCCGUGCCAGCAGCCGCGGUAAUACGGAGGAUGCGAGCGUUAUCCGGAUUUAUUGGGUUUAAAGGGUGCGCAGGCGGAUUUUUAAGUCAGCGGUCAAAUCGUGGGGCUCAACCCCAUCCAGCCGUUGAAACUGGGGAUCUAGAGUGUGCGAGAGGUAUGCGGAAUGCGUGGUGUAGCGGUGAAAUGCAUAGAUAUCACGCAGAACUCCGAUUGCGAAGGCAGCAUACCGGCGCCCGACUGACGCUGAAGCACGAAAGCGUGGGUAUCGAACAGGAUUAGAUACCCGGGUACG
rnacentral:rRNA from 1 species